GAAUAAGUUCUUAUUAAUGAGAGUAGUCAGCAUUCACAUUAAACACAAAUGAUUCAGAGGAAUUCAACAAGGAGAGUCACUGAAUUAGCAUACGUGGAAUUUGACCAAGUGGACUUUAUUCCAAUGAAUACAGCACACGCCACGUUGUACAAAUGCAAUGAUGCAGAUGUAGGAUUACGGGAACCCAGCUGCCACCUGCCCACCCUCUGAGAAAACCAGCAAUAAAAUGAAGAGCAUGUUGUCAAGUAUUAUCAGUUCAAGAUUUUUUCACAUCAAGAUGAUGAGAAUGUAGUCUCCUUAUGUGACAACAGUCAGAGGAAGAGGUUUCAGAAACAAGAUCAAACUUCAGUGUUACUUUGUAUGGUCUGAAAAUUAUAAAGCAUCUGAAAAUGGGUCAGAGAUCUAACAAUGUAUUCAUGAGGUUCAGAGUUAAUGUUCUGGAGGCACAUUCAUUGCUGGAGUCACAGGUGACAUGUUAAUUUUUUGUUGUUGAAUAUUUUGUAUCUGUUUAAGAGCUAUGUCUAAUAAAGAACAUUAUUUGAUUCUA